rnacentral:precursor_RNA from 12 species
CAAAGAGUACCUUAGUAGCCUCCAGCCUUCUGUUCCAAGCAGCUGUCUGCUUCCAGAGUCCUACAGCCCCGAACCAGCAGAGGCUUGGAGCAGGAGGCUGUGGGGAGUGCACUCCAGACACAAU